rnacentral:rRNA from 1 species
AGGACGAACGCUGGCGGCGUGCUUAACACAUGCAAGUCGAGCGGUAAGGCUCCUUCGGGAGUACACGAGCGGCGAACGGGUGAGUAACACGUGAGCAAUCUGCCCUUCACAUCGGGAUAACCCCCGGAAACGGGAGCUAAUACCGGAUACGACCACUUCAGGCAUCUGAUGGUGGUGGAAAGUUCCGGCGGUGAAGGAUGAGCUCGCGGCCUAUCAGCUUGUGGUGAGGUAAUGGCUCACCAAGGCUUCGGACGGGUA